rnacentral:misc_RNA from 1 species
GAUGAAGAACGCAGCGAAAUGCGAUAAGUAAUGUGAAUUGCAGAAUUCAGUGAAUCAUCGAAUCUUUGAACGCACAUUGCGCCCGCCAGCAUUCUGGCGGGCAUGCCUGUUCGAGCGUCAUUUCAACCCUCGACUUCCCUUUGGGGAAGUCGGCGUUGGGGACCGGCCGUAUACCGCCGGCCCCGAAAUGAAGUGGCGGCCCGUCCGCGGCGACCUCUGCGCAGUAAUCCAACUCGCACCGGAACCCCGACGUGGCCACGCCGUAAAACCCCCGACUUCUGAACGUUGACCUCGGAUCAGGUAGGAAUACCCGCUGAACUUAAGCAUAUCAAUAAGCGGAGGA